rnacentral:rRNA from 1 species
GGAGGAUGCGAGCGUUAUCCGGAUUCAUUGGGUUUAAAGGGUGCGCAGGCGGAAUAAUAAGUCAGUGGUGAAAUCUCUCGGCUCAACCGGGAAACUGCCAUUGAUACUGCUAUUCUUGAGUACAGUUGAAGUGGGCGGAAUGUGUCAUGUAGCGGUGAAAUGCUUAGAUAUGACACAGAACACCGAUAGCGAAGGCAGCUCACUAAGCUGUAACUGACGCUCAUGCACGAAAGCGUGGGGAUCAAACAGGGAUUAGAUACCCUGGUAGUCCACGCUGUAAACGAUGAUCACUCGUUGUUAGCGAUAUACUGUUAGCGACUGAGCGAAAGCAUUAAGUGAUCCACCUGGGGAGUACGGCGGCAACGUUG